AACGAACGCUGGCGGCAUGCUUAACACAUGCAAGUCGAACAAAUUUUAUAGACUUCGGUUUAUAAAGUUAGUGGCAGACGGGUGAGUAACGCGUGGGAACGUACCCUUGAGUUCGGAAUAACUAUUGGAAACGAUAGCUAAUACUGGAUAAGCCCUACGGGGGAAAGGAGCAAUUCGCUGAAGGAGCGGCCCGCGUCUGAUUAGGUAGUUGGUAAGGUAAAAGCUUACCAAGCCGAUGAUCAGUAGCUGGUCUGAGAGGAUGAACAGCCACACUGGGACUGAGACCCGGCCCAGACUCCUACGGGAGGCAGCAGUGGGGAAUAUUGGACAAUGGGGGCAACCCUGAUCCAGCAAUGCCGCGUGAGUGAUGAAGGCCUUCGGGUUGUAAAGCUCUUUUGUCUGUGAUGAUAAUGACAGUAACAGACGAAUAAGCCCCGGCUAACUUCGUGCCAGCAGCCGCAGUAA
rnacentral:rRNA from 1 species